rnacentral:rRNA from 1 species
GUGAACGCUGGCGGUAGGCCUAACACAUGCCAGUCGAACGGCAGCACAGUAAGAGCUUGCUCUUACGGGUGGCGAGUGGCGGACGGGUGAGGAAUACAUCGGAAUCUACUUUUUCGUGGGGGAUAACGUAGGGAAACUUACGCUAAUACCGCAUACGACCUACGGGUGAAAGCCGGGGAUCUUCGGACCUUGCGCGAUUGAAUGAGCCGAUGUCGGAUUAGCUAGUUGGCGGGGUAAAGGCCCACCAAGGCGACGAUCCGUAGCUGGUCUGAGAGGAUGAUCAGCCACACUGGAACUGAGACACGGUCCAGACUCCUACGGGAGGCUGCAGUGGGGAAUAUUGGACAAUGGGCGCAAGCCUGAUCCAGCCAUACCGCGUGGGUGAAGAAGGCCUUCGGGUUGUAAAGCCCUUUUGUUGGGAAAGAAAAGCAGCAGGUUAAUACCCCGCUGUUCUGACGGUACCCAAAGAAUAAGCACCGGCUAACUUCGUG